GUAUGGAUCUCUCUGAAAUUGUACUACAAGGUUCAAUACUGCAAUGGAAAGCAUGGGAUUGAGUUUAAGGGUUAUUGCUCCAAGGGGGUUCAAAAAAGUUGGGGGGGAUUUUUGUUUACCAUUUUUUGAAGGGCUUCCUUUUUUUCAAAGAAGUUUCAAGAAGAAAUCUUCAAUUGCACAGUAUUGUGCAAUAGAUUUGUUAGAUCUUUGACCACAUUAAUUUUGUGACAAAAACCUAUAUUAUGUCAAAAAUUUGAUCACAAUCCAAAUUCAGACAGUAUCAAGCUUGAAUAUUGUGACCAAAUUUGCCC
rnacentral:lncRNA from 1 species